GACGUAGGGCGCGAGCGUUGUCCGGAUUUAUUGGGCGUAAAGAGCUCGUAGGCGGUUCGUCGCGUCGAAUGUGAAAACCCGGGGCUCAACUCCGGGCCUGCAUUCGAUACGGGCGGACUAGAGUUCGGUAGGGGAGACUGGAAUUCCUGGUGUAGCAGUGAAAUGCGCAGAUAUCAGGAGGAACACCGGUGGCGAAGGCGGGUCUCUGGGCCGAUACUGACGCUGAGGAGCGAAAGCGUGGGGAGCGAACAGG
rnacentral:rRNA from 1 species